UCCCUCCCAAAGGUGCACACUCAGCCGAGGAGGACGACCAUCCCUGAUGGAGGAGGACUGACUGGUCAAGGGUAUACGAGAAGCUGCGCUCCCCUGCUAGAAGCUCCAAACGAGCUCUCAAAGACGCCUCCAACUUGCAGGGAAACACAAUC
rnacentral:sRNA from 1 species